rnacentral:misc_RNA from 1 species
GCCUACUUGGACCACGCAGCAGCAACUUUGUAUUCCGAGCUACAAAUGGAGGCGAUCUUCAAAGAUCUCACUUCUAAUAUAUAUGGAAAUCCUCAUAGCCAAAGUGAUUCUAGCUUUGCCACUUCUGACAUUGUAAGGAAUGCCCGUCAACAGGUCCUUGACUAUUUCAAAGCAUCUCCUAAAGACUACAAAUGCAUAUUUACUUCUGG